rnacentral:rRNA from 1 species
AGCGGGAAAAGCUCAAAUUUAAAAUCUGGCGUCCUCCGGGCGUCCGAGUUGUAAUCUGGAGAAGCGUUUUCCGCGUCGGACCGUGUACAAGUCUUCUGGAACGGAGCGUCAUAGAGGGUGAGAAUCCCGUCUCUGACACGGACUACCGAUGCUUUUGUGAUGCGCUCUCGAAGAGUCGAGUUGUUUGGGAAUGCAGCUCAAAAUGGGUGGUAAAUUCCAUCUAAAGCUAAAUAUUGGCCAGAGACCGAUAGCGAACAAGUACCGUGAGGGAAAGAUGAAAAGCACUUUGGAAAGAGAGUUAAACAGUACGUGAAAUUGUUGAAAGGGAAACGCUUGAAGUCAGUCGCGUUGGCCGAGACUCAGCCUGGCUUGCCUGGUGUACUUCUCGGUUGACGGGUCAGCAUCAGUUUUGACCGCCGGAUAAAGGUUGGAGGAAUGUGGCAUCCCUCGGGAUGUGUUAUAGCCUCUGAUUCGCAUACGGCGAUUGGGACUGAGGAACUCAGCACGCCUUUAUGGUCGGGGUUCGCCCACGUAACGUGCUUAGGAUGCUGGCAUAAUGGCUUUAAGCGACCCGUCUUGAAACACGGACCAAGGAGUCUAACAUGCCCGCGAGUGUUUGGGUGUUAAACCCGAGCGCGUAAUGAAAGUGAAAAUUGAGAUCCUGUCGUG